GGCCACAGCCAUAUCACCCUGCAGCCCAAGACUGGUUGCCCACUGAAGCUAAGCAGGGUUGAGCCUGGUCAGUACCUGGAUGGGAGACCUCCUGGGAAAACUAUGUUGCUGUUGGAA
rnacentral:rRNA from 1 species